UUGAUUAGUAUUAAAAAUUGUUUAAUUAUCAAGCGAUAAUAUGUUAUUUUAUGCUUAUGUUAUAAUUUAUAUUUGUGUUUAUGUAAUAUAUUAUGAAUUAUGAAUUAUGUUUUAAAUAUAUUUAAUUUUGUGUAUUUUUAUGUGUUUAUUAGGAAAAUUAUUAAUUUCACGUACUUCGAGGCUCCAAACAGAUAAACGGAGGUCAAAUUUGGAUUCCGGAGGUCCGAAAACCUUAAGAUCAGUCAAGAUCAUCUUAAAAUUUGGCUUGUUUAAAAAAAGUUGACUUUUUCUGUUGACCGAGCACUGAUUGGAUGAUGAAAUGAGCUUACAAUAGAUAUGAGUGCAUGGGAUAACUGGCAAUCUUGACUAAAUCUCAACCGUUCAUGAUUCAAUGGCCAUGAUUGUGCCACGUGGCAAUGGUUGGUGAAGCAAGUUGGAGGAUCCGAAUCUUUGUAUUCGGGUCGACCCGAUCCACCCAUUAACCCGCCAAAUCUCAACCGUUCUUUGGGUAAAUCGGACGAGUCAAAUGAUGCCAUGUGUGAUGUUGACUUUUGAAGUUUGACAGCCAUUGGAUCUUGAUCUAAGGGUUGUGAGGAGCACAUGCAUGAAGCCUAUGAUGGACCGCAAAGCACGGGAUUAUGAAUUUAUUUUUUCUAUAAAUAGGGCCUCAUUUUUAUGUUUUAAUCAUCUCUCUACAACUCCUGCUGUACGGCCAAGGCGGAUGUACGGUACAGCAGGUUAUAAAUAUAUUUAAUUUUGUGUAUUUUUAUGUGUUUAUUAAGAAAAAUAUUAAUUUCACGUACUUCGAGGCUCCAAACAAAUAAACAGAGCUUAAAUUUGAAUUCCGGAGGUCCGAAAACCUUAAGAUCAGUCAAGAUCGGCUUAAAAUUGGGCUUGUGUAAAAAAAGUUGACUUUUCCUGUUGACCGAGCACUGAUUGGAUGAUGAAAUGAGCUUACAAUAGAUAUGAGUGCAUGGGAUAACUGGCAAUCUUGACCAAAUCUCAACCGUUCAUGAUUCAAUGGCCAUGAUUGUGCCACGUGGCAAUGAUUGGUGAAGCAAGUUG
rnacentral:lncRNA from 1 species